AUGGUGGUCACCAACAAGCAAUUAAUGGUGAGUGGGAUAUUGCCGGCGUGGCUAAAAAUGAGUAUGAUCUGGAAGACAAAAUAAUUUCAACGGUAGGUGCCGGUAGAAUUGGAUAUAGGGUUCUGGAAAGAUUGGUCGCAUUUAAUCCGAAGAAGUUACUGUACUACGACUACCAGGAACUACCUGCGGAAGCAAUCAAUAGAUUGAACGAGGCCAGCAAGCUUUUCAAUGGCAGAGGUGAUAUUGUUCAGAGAGUAGAAAAAUUGGAGGAUAUGGUUGCUCAGUCAGAUGUUGUUACCAUCAACUGUCCAUUGCACAAGGACUCAAGGGGGUUAUUCAAUAAAAAGCUUAUUUCCCACAUGAAAGAUGGUGCAUACUUGGUGAAUACCGCUAGAGGUGCUAUUUGUGUCGCAGAAGAUGUUGCCGAGGCAGUCAAGUCUGGUAAAUUGGCUGGCUAUGGUGGUGAUGUCUGGGAUAAGCAACCAGCACCAAAAGACCAUCCCUGGAGGACUAUGGACAAUAAGGACCACGUGGGAAACGCAAUGACUGUUCAUAUCAGUGGCACAUCUCUGGAUGCUCAAAAGAGGUACGCUCAGGGAGUAAAGAACAUCCUAAAUAGUUACUUUUCCAAAAAGUUUGAUUACCGUCCACAGGAUAUUAUUGUGCAGAAUGGUUCUUAUGCCACCAGAGCUUAUGGACAGAAGAAAUAA
rnacentral:sRNA from 1 species